rnacentral:rRNA from 1 species
CAGUCGCCGCGGUAAUACGGAGGGGGCUAGCGUUGUUCGGAAUUACUGGGCGUAAAGCGCACGUAGGCGGCUUUGCAAGUCAGAGGUGAAAGCCCGGGGCUCAACUCCGGAAUAGCCUUUGAGACUGCAUCGCUUGAACACGGGAGAGGUGAGUGGAAUUCCGAGUGUAGAGGUGAAAUUCGUAGAUAUUCGGAAGAACACCAGUGGCGAAGGCGGCUCACUGGACCGUUGUUGACGCUGAGGUGCGAAAGCGUGGGGAGCAAACUGGAUUAGAUACCCCUGUAGUCCCUGUCUCUUAUAC